UUUUUUGAUGGGCCAUCACACAGUGGAUUUAUAAAAAUGAGAUUACAGAACAUCAGACGGUAGCUUCAACAGAGUUGAAGUGGGAGGACAUCAUCAAUAAAGAAUGCCAUUGGCCAAACCUUCAGUCAUCAAAGAAGAUGGAUACAGGGGGACAUCAAGUUUUCCAGACUUACCGAUGGGAAAGAAGAAAUGGGAAUGUGACAAUUAUUGAGAAACUCAGGGAAAAAGCAUCUUAAGAGAAGAAAAUGGACAUCAGACAUUUAUUGAAGAAAGCUGACAGUCAACAUAAUGAUGAGAGCUGUGUUAUGGAUACUCGUUCAUCUUCUGCUGUGUGAAUUCUGCUGUGUCAGUCCUGUGGGACUUGAUGCCGGCUGGUACCAGUGUGACGUCUUUGCUUACUAAAUGAUCAAAGGGUGUCUGAAAUCAGCUCAGCCACAGUUGGUUUCCAACGGUUCUUCAGGACAUGGAGGCCACUACGUAACUGUUGCAAUUAACGAUUCUUUUGCCUCCACCACUGAUGUUGACAAUCUGACCUGUGCUGUACUGAAAACAACUUGCACUGACAUAUCUUAAAAUAUAUCAGUGCCCUUUGUUUUGCCUCAAAAUGCACACCAGUAAUGUUUUUUGUUGAAACCAGUUAUAUUUCCUAAUUAAACUAAGGCCUAGUCCUGGAUUAAGCUAAUCCCCUGUCCGGGAAACCGCCCCUAAAUGUUUUGUGACGGAAAUUUCUUUGAAUACACUUGUCAAGUUCAUUUUAAGUAUUUUUCUAAAUGUAAGAUAACAUGUUAAAGUUU